rnacentral:miRNA from 1 species
ACUGCCAGCACCUGGGAGCUUGUCAGAAAUUCAGAACCCUAAGUGAAGAUGCUGACCCAUUCUGGACCAAGAUCCUACAUUUCUAACAAGUUCCCAGGUGAUGCUGAU